rnacentral:rRNA from 1 species
AAACAUGUCUUUUUGAAUUAUAUUUAAAGUCUGACCUGCCCACUGAAUAAUUUUAAAUGGCCGCAGUAUUUUGACUGUGCAAAGGUAGCAUAAUCAUUAGUCUUUUAAUUGAAGGCUGGUAUGAACGGUUGGACGAAGUAUAAACUGUUUCAUGUAAAUUUAUAAUAGAAUUUUAUAUUUUAGUUAAAAAGCUAAAAUUUUAUUAAAAGACGAGAAGACCCUAUAAAUCUUUAUAAUUAAUAAUAACUAAAUUUUUUUGAUUUGUUUUAUUUUUUUAAUGUUGAUUAUUUUGUUGGGGUGAUGUUAAAAUUUAAUGAACUUUUAAUUUUUUAAAAUCAUUAAUUUAUGAAUUAUUGAUCCAUUAAUAGUGAUUAUAAGAUUAAGUUACUUUAGGGAUAACAGCGUAAUUUUUUUUGAGAGUUCAUAUCGAUAAAAAAGUUUGCGACCUCGAUGUUGGAUUAAGGUAUAAUUUUGGGUGUAGCCGUUCAAAAAUUAAGUCUGUUCGACUUUUAAAUCCUUACAUGAUC